UCUCCAUCACUUUCUCCAGGUUCACCUCCAUCGCUUUCUCCAGGUUCUCCUCCAUCACCCGUUGUUGUGUCACCAUCUCCGCAGCCACCGUGGUCCCCUACUCCAACUCCACCACAUUCUGGUCAGACACCACCGCCAACUCAUUCACCUCACGAGCCUCCGCCAACUCCUGAUCAUAGCUCAUCGCCAAAUUAUUCACCUCACGCGCCACCUCCAACUCCUGAACAUAGCUCAUCGCCAAAUUAUUCACCUCACGCGCCACCGCCAACUCCUAAUCAUAGCUCCCCGCCAAAUAAUUCACCUCACGCGCCACCCCCAACUCCUAAUCAUAGCUCACCGCCAAAUCAUUCACCUCACUGGCAAACGCCGCCACCACCACCACCUUCUCCAUAUCAUAGCUCACCGCCAACCCAUUCACCUAACUCACCCCCGCCACCGCCUUCUCCAUAUCAUACCUCACCGCCGGCGCCACCUGCCCAUUCACCAUCUCCUAGUAUAGAACCUCCUCCACACCAAUCACAACCAUCUCCUGGAGAGCAUUCACCUCCGCCCCCACCAGGGCCACAACUACCUCACCUGCCACCACCUUCCCCAUCUCCCCUGCCC
rnacentral:lncRNA from 1 species